rnacentral:rRNA from 1 species
AGGACGAACGCUGGCGGCGUGCUUAACACAUGCAAGUCGAGCGGUAAGGCCUUUCGGGGUACACGAGCGGCGAACGGGUGAGUAACACGUGGGUGAUCUGCCCUGCACUCUGGGAUAAGCCUGGGAAACUGGGUCUAAUACCGGAUAUGACCUGCUCUCGCAGUGGGGGGUGGGUGGAAAGAUUUAUCGGUGCAGGAUGGGCCCGCGGCCUAUCAGCUUGUUGGUGGGUAAUGGCCUACCAAGGCGACGACGGGUAGCCGACCUGAGAGGGUGACCGGCCACACUGGGACUGAGACACGGCCCAGACUCCUACGGGAGGCAGCAGUGGGGAAUAUUGCACAAUGGGCGAAAGCCUGAUGCAGCGACGCCGCGUGAGGAUGAAGGCCUUCGGGUUGUAAACCUCUUUCAGCAGGACGAAGCGCAAGUGACGGUACCUGACAGAAGAAGCACCGGACUAACUACGUGCCAGCAGCCGC